AGAAGGUGUCCAGGGACAUCCUGGAGACAAUCCAAGACAAAACCUGGAAACAACUUCAGGGGCCUGGGCAAUGAGGCCCCUUCCUACGCAGCCCAGCAGAGCUGCCCACCCACACCAGCCUGCCUUGCCCUAGAGCUGACCCUCAGCACAGCUGAGCCUGGGCAACAUCCCCUCCUCAUGGGUAGUUUCCUAGGCCCUGUAUUGUUUCAGAGAAACACAUAUUUGGCAGCUCAUGUUUUCCGACACAUCAGCCAGCAAGGAUGGAAAUAGCAUUUUUUUCCAAAGAGUCUUUCUCCACUAUGUCAUGAGCCACACUCCUUCUACAGGUAGCUUGAAAUGCAGAGAUCCAAGAGAAAGGAGCAUCGCUCACUGCUCCCACUUUCCUAACAAGACCUCAUUACGGUGCAGGGAAAACUUGACCCCGUCAGAAGUGUCAAGCUGAGGCACCGUGUUUAUUUCUCACACCGUCCCCUUCACCCGUAACUUGGCGGGUGCUGCGGGGAGGUUAUUCUUUCUUCCUUUGAUUGUCACGGGGAGUAAGCUUUUCUUUUUUUAACAAAGCUAUUUUAAAACAGA